rnacentral:rRNA from 1 species
AGAGUUUGAUCCUGGCUCAGGACGAACGCUGGCGGCGCGCCUAACACAUGCAAGUCGAACGGGACUAUUUUGGGAGAAGUUUUCGGAUGGAUCUCGGGAUAGUUUAGUGGCGGACGGGUGAGUAACACGUGAGCAACCUGCCUUCGAGAGGGGAAUAACGGCUGGAAACGGUCGCUAAUACCGCAUAACAUACUGGAGGGACAUCCCUUUGGUAUCAAAGAUUAUAUCGCUCGGAGAUGGGCUCGCGUCCGAUUAGGUAGUUGGUGAGGUAACGGCUCACCAAGCCGACGAUCGGUAGCCGGACUGAGAGGUCGAACGGCCACAUUGGGACUGAGACACGGCCCAGACUCCUACGGGAGGCAGCAGUGGGGGACAUUGCACAAUGGGGGAAACCCUGAUGCAGCGACGCCGCGUGUGGGAAGACGGUCCUCUGGAUUGUAAACCACUGUCCCCAGGGACGAAGAUGACGGUACCUGGGGAGGAAGCUCCGGCUAACUACGUG